rnacentral:rRNA from 1 species
UAACGCGUGGGUAACCUGCCUUAUACAGGGGGAUAACAGUCAGAAAUGGCUGCUAAUACCGCAUAAGCGCACAGAGCUGCAUGGCUCAGUGUGAAAAACUCCGGUGGUAUAAGAUGGACCCGCGUUGGAUUAGCUUGUUGGCGGGGUAACGGCCCACCAAGGCGACGAUCCAUAGCCGGCCUGAGAGGGUGAACGGCCACAUUGGGACUGAGACACGGCCCAG